rnacentral:rRNA from 1 species
UAAUACGGAGGGGGCGAGCGUUGUUCGGAAUUACUGGGCGUAAAGGGCGCGCAGGCGGUAUGGUAAGUCAGAAGUGAAAUGCACGGGCUUAACCUGUGAACUGCUUUUGAAACUGCCAGACUAGAGUUCGGUAGAGGAUAGUGGAAUUCCCCGUGUAGAGGUGAAAUUCGUAGAUAUGGGGAGGAACACCAGAGGCGAAGGCGGCUAUCUGGACCGAAACUGACGCUGAGGCGCGAAAGCGUGGGGAGCAAACAGGAUUAGAUACCCUGGUAGUCCACGCUGUAAACGAUGAGUGCUGGUUGUUGGGGGUAUCGACCCCUCCGGUAACGAAGCUAACGCGUUAAGCACUCCGCCUGGGGAGUACGGCCGCAAGGUUAAAACUCAAAGGAAUUGACGG